AUGGCAUUUGCCUGCUUCACUGCCAUCGCCCUCUCCUAUGUCCAGAUAGUCUCCACAGUGCUCAGGAUGCCCUCUGCUGAAGGUUUGGCCUGGAAUGAAGUGGCCAUUCUCACAGUGAUAUCCUAUGAAGGCUAUGUGGUCAUCUGCCUCCCACUGCACUAUGAAGUUCUUCUGUGGUGUCCCCAGUUGCUCAAGCUCUCCUGCUCCAGUGAUUACCUUGGAGUGAUUGGGCUGGUUGCCCUCAUUGCUGCUGUGGCAUUUUUCUGCUUCAUCACCAUCACCCUCUGCUAUGUCCAGAUAUUCUCUGCAGUUCUCAGGAUGCCCUCUGCGGAAGUGGUCCAUGCCUCAGCCUCUGGGGCCCUGCAGGGGCUCCAUGCUUUGGCAUCACUUCCGCAAGUGCAGAUUCUUUUGGGAGCACCCACUAGGUCGAUUUGGCCAGAGACUAUGGGCACAUACUUCUCUGUCUCUGAAGGCAGGCGCUGCCACCAGGAGCAUUAUGGUGGUCAUUGGCUCAGUUUUGGAUGUCUAGUUUGAUGAAGGAUUACCACCCAUCCUACAUGCCCUGGAGGUACAAGGCAGGGAGACCAGACUGGUUUUGGAGGUGGCCCAGCAUUCAGGUGAGAGUACUGUAAGAAUCCUUGCUAUGAACGGUACUGAAGGUUUGGUUAGAAGCCAGAAAGUACUGGAUUCAGGUGCACCACUCAAAAUUCCUGUUGUUCCUGAGACCUUGUGCAGAAUUAUGAUGAUCAUUGGCAAACCCACUGAUGAGAAAGGACCUAUCAAAACCAAACAAUUUAUACAUAUUCAUGCUGAGGCUCCUGAGCUCAUAGAAAUUGAGUGUUGAACAGGAAAUUCUGGUGACUGGUAUCAAGGUUGUGGAUAUUCUAUCUCUGUAUGCCAAUGGUGGCAAAAUUGGACUGUGGUGAUGCUGGAGUUGGCAAGACUGUACUUAUCAUGAAGUUAAUCAACAAUGUUGCCAAAGCCCAUGGUGGCUACUCAGUAUUUUCUGGUGUUGGUGAAAGGACCAGUGAGGGUAAUGACUUAUACCAUAAAAUGACUGAGUCUGGUGUCAUCAACUUAAAGGAUGCUUCCUCCAAGGUAGCAUUGGUGUAAGGUCAGGUGAACGAAGUACCUGGUACUCGGGCUUGGGUAGUUAUGAAUGGACUGACUGUUGUUGAAAACUUCAGAGAUCAAGAUGGUCAAGAUGUACUGCUAUUCAUUGACAACAUCUUUUACUUCAACCAGGCUGGCUUAGAGGUAUCUGCCUUAUUGGGAAGAAUCCCUUCUGCUGUAGGCUAUCAGCCUACUGACAUGGGUACAAUACAAGAAAGAAUCACCACCACCAAAAAGGGAUCCAUCACCUCUGUGCAGGCUGUCUAUGUGCCUGCUGAUGACUUGACUGAUCCUGCCCCUGCAAGUACCUUUGCCCAUUUGGAUGCCACUAUUGUACUGCCCCAUGCUGUUGAUGAGCUGGGCAUUUAUCCAGCUGUGGAUCCUCUGUACUUCACUUCUAGAAUCAUGGAUCCAAAGGUAAUUGGCGAUGAACAUUCUGAUGUUGUUCGAGGGGUGCAAAAAUUCCUGCAGGACUACAAAUACCUCCAGGACAUCAUUGCCAUCCUGGGUAUGGAUGAACUUUCUGAGGAAGAUAAGUUGACUGUAACCCUGGGAAGGAAAAUCCAGUGCUUCCUAUCUCAGCCAUUCCAGGUUGCUGAGAUCUUCACAGGGCAAGGGAAAGCUGGUGCUCUUGAAGGAGACCAUUGCAGAAUUCCAUCAGAUUUUGGCAGGUGACUACCUUGCUGGUAUGAGGACCUCAGAUCAGAUUCUUAGGGUCAUGUGGAAAGCCCAGAGCUGCAGAGUGAGCCUGAAACUGUGGCCUUAA